CUCAAGAAACUUAAAGGAAUUGACGGGGGCCCGCACAAGCGGUGGAGCAUGUGGUUUAAUUCGAUGAUACGCGAGGAACCUUACCUGGGCUCAAAUGUAUGUUGACGUAUUCUGAAAGGGAUACUUCUUCGGACAAUAUACAAGGUGCUGCAUGGUUGUCGUCAGCUCGUGCCGUGAGGUGUCGGGUUAAGUCCCAUAACGAGCGCAACCCCUAUCAUUAGUUGCCAUCAGGUCAAGCUGGGGACUCUAAUGAAACUGCCUACGCAAGUAGUGAGGAAGGUGGGGAUGACGUCAAAUCAGCACGGCCCUUACGUCCAGGGCUACACACGUGCUACAAUGGCCGGUACAAAGGGCAGCUACCUGGUGACAGGAUGCUAAUCUCAAAAGCCGGUCUCAGUUCGGAUCGGAGUCUGCAACCCGACUCCGUGAAGCUGGAAUCGCUAGUAAUACGCGCAUCAGCCAUGGCGCGGUGAAUACGUUCCCGGGCCUU
rnacentral:rRNA from 1 species